rnacentral:rRNA from 1 species
UACGGAGGAUGCAAGCGUUAUCCGGAAUGAUUGGGCGUAAAGCGUCCGCAGGUGGCAAUUCAAGUCGAUUGUCAAAUGUCGUGGCUCAACCACGAACAGGCAGUGGAAACUGAACAGCUAGAGUGUGGUAGGGGUAGAGGGAAUUCCCGGUGUAGCGGUGAAAUGCGUAGAGAUCGGGAAGAACACCAGUGGCGAAAGCGCUCUACUAAGCCAUAACUGACACUCAGGGACGAAAGCUAGGGGAGCGAAUGGG